GGAUCGAUAGCUCAGUCGGUUAGAGCACCCGUCUCAUAAACGGGCGGCCUUGGGUUCGAUUCCCAAACGAUCCACCA
rnacentral:tRNA from 1 species